AUCCAAGUGAUGAGUCUCAAAUAGGACGAAAGGCGCGUCAUGGAU
rnacentral:hammerhead_ribozyme from 1 species